rnacentral:rRNA from 1 species
GAUGAACGCUGGCGGCGUGCCUAAUACAUGCAAGUCGAGCGAACGGACGAGAAGCUUGCGUCUCUGAUGUUAGCGGCGGACGUGUGAGUAACACGUGUAUAACCUACCUAUAAGACGGGGAUAACUUCGGGAAAGCGGAGCUAAUACCGGAUAAUAUUUUGAACCGCAUGGUUCAAAAGUGAAAGACGGUCUUGCGGUCACGUAUAGAUGGAUCCGCGCUGCAUUAGCUAGUUGGUAAGGUAACGGCUUACCAAGGCAACGAUGCAUAGCCGACCUGAGAGGGUGAUCGGCCACACUGGAACUGAGACACGGUCCAGACGCCUACGGGAGGCAGCAGUAGGGAAUCUUCCGCAAUGGGCGAAAGCCUGACGGAGCAACGCCGCGUGAGUGAUGAAGGUCUUCGGAUCGUAAAACUCUGUUAUUAGGGAAGAACAUCUGUGUAAGUAACUGUGCACAUCUUGACGGUACCUAAUCAGAAAGCCACGGCUAACUACGUG